UACGUAGGGGGCUAGCGUUGUCCGGAAUCAUUGGGCGUAAAGAGCGUGUAGGCGGCUCGGUAAGUCCGCUGUGAAAGUCCAGGGCUCAACCCUGGAAUGCCAGUGGAAACUGUCGAGCUAGAGUCCGGAAGAGGCGAGUGGAAUUCCUGGUGUAGCGGUGAAAUGCGUAGAUAUCAGGAGGAACACCUGUGGCGAAAGCGGCUCACUGGACCACAACUGACGCUGAUGCACGAAAGCUAGGGGAGCAAACAGG
rnacentral:rRNA from 1 species